rnacentral:rRNA from 1 species
AAUCAACGCUGGCGGCGUGCCUCAGACAUGCAAGUCGAACGCGAAAUCUUCCUUCGGGGAGAAAGUAGAGUGGCGCACGGGUGAGCAACACGUAGGUAAUCUACCUUUGGAUUGGGAAUAACACCGAGAAAUCGGUGCUAAUACCGAAUAAUGCAGCGGCACCUAAUGGUGACAGUUGUUAAAGCGGGGGAUCGCAAGACCUCGCGUCUAAAGAGGAGCCUGCGGCGGAUUAGCUAGUUGGUAAGGUAACGGCUUACCAAGGCGAUGAUCCGUAGCCGGCCUGAGAGGGCGGUCGGCCACACUGACACUGACAUACGGGUCAGACUCCUACGGGAGGCAGCAGUCGGGAAUUUUGGGCAAUGGGCGAAAGCCUGACCCAGCAACGCCGCGUGAAGGAUGAAAUCCCUCGGGAUGUAAACUUCGCAAGAACGGGAAGAAUAAGUUGGUGUUAACAUCACCAGCGAUGACGGUACCGUUUGUAAGCUCCGGCUAACUCCGUGC